rnacentral:tRNA from 1 species
GGAGGACGUGGCCCGGUUCGGCCGGAGCACGGCGUUCGGCGCGCGCCGGCGGCGGUCGUACAGCCUGCUGCCGUACGGAUCGAUCGCCGUCGCCUUCACC